rnacentral:rRNA from 1 species
UACGGAGGGGGCAAGCGUUAUUCGGAAUUAUUGGGCGUAAAGGGCGCGUAGGCGGCUAGAUGUGUCAAAGGUGAAAUCCCUCGGCUCAACUGAGGAACUGCCUUUGAAACUGUCUGGCUUGAGGCCGGGAGAGGGUAGCGGAAUUCCCAGUGUAGCGGUGAAAUGCGUAGAUAUUGGGAGGAACACCAGUGGCGAAGGCGGCUACCUGGACCGGUACUGACGCUGAGGCGCGAAAGCGUGGGGAGCAAACAGG